CCAAAGACCCCACACGAGUACAACCUCAUCUGAAGAAAUGUUUUGAGGGCAUUGCCACUUUGAAAUUCACCGAAGAUUUGGAGGUUACCAUAAUGCGUUCCUCAGAACGUGAAGAAGUCGAAUUGGUGGAUAAAAUCUCUACAGCCAAAGCCAGAGGUCAGGUGGAGAAAUGGCUUUU
rnacentral:lncRNA from 1 species